rnacentral:ncRNA from 1 species
CCGGGGCCUAAUGCAUGUCUCCCAAAAGUGGAAACUGGUUUUGGGUAUAGGCGUGCAUGAAAACAAAAACUUAAAGCGUGUCGUAUGGCUAUGAUAAAACGCGACACGCUUUAAGCCUUUCCCGAAUGGGGAGGCGCAAGGCCGCCAGCCUGUCCUGCAAUCCGGG